ACGAACGCUGGCGGCACGCUUAACACAUGCAAGUCGAACGAGAGAAGAGGAGCUUGCUUUUCUGAUCUAGUGGCGGACGGGUGAGUAACACGUGAGCAAUCUGCCUUUCAGAGGGGGAUACCGAUUGGAAACGAUCGUUAAUACCGCAUAACAUAAUUGAACCGCAUGAUUUGAUUAUCAAAGAUUUAUCGCUGAAAGAUGAGCUCGCGUCUGAUUAGCUAGUUGGUAAGGUAACGGCUUACCAAGGCGACGAUCAGUAGCCGGACUGAGAGGUUGAUCGGCCACAUUGGGACUGAGACACGGCCCAGACUCCUACGGGAGGCAGCAGUGGGGAAUAUUGCACAAUGGAGGAAACUCUGAUGCAGCGAUGCCGCGUGAGGGAAGAAGGUUUUAGGAUUGUAAACCUCUGUCUUCAGGGACGAAAAAAGACGGUACCUGAGGAGGAAGCUCCGGCUAACUACGUGCCAGCAGCCGCGGUAAUACGUAGGGAGCGAGCGUUGUCCGGAAUUACUGGGUGUAAAGGGAGCGUAGGCGGGAUCGCAAGUCAGAUGUGAAAACUAUGGGCUUAACCCAUAAACUGCAUUUGAAACUGUGGUUCUUGAGUGAAGUAGAGGUAAGCGGAAUUCCUAGUGUAGCGGUGAAAUGCGUAGAUAUUAGGAGGAACAUCAGUGGCGAAGGCGGCUUACUGGGCUUUAACUGACGCUGAGGCUCGAAAGCGUGGGGAGCAAACAGGAUUAGAUACCCUGGUAGUCCACGCCGUAAACGAUGAUUACUAGGUGUGGGGGGACUGACCCCUUCCGUGCCGCAGCAAACGCAAUAAGUAAUCCACCUGGGGAGUACGACCGCAAGGUUGAAACUCAAAGGAAUUGACGGGGGCCCGCACAAGCAGUGGAGUAUGUGGAUUAAUUCGAAGCAACGCGAAGAACCUUACCAGGUCUUGACAUCGUAUGCAUAGCUCAGAGAUGAGUGAAAUCUCUUCGGAGACAUAUAGACAGGUGGUGCAUGGUUGUCGUCAGCUCGUGUCGUGAGAUGUUGGGUUAAGUCCCGCAACGAGCGCAACCCUUACUGUUAGUUGCUACGCAAGAGCACUCUAGCAGGACUGCCGUUGACAAAACGGAGGAAGGUGGGGAUGACGUCAAAUCAUCAUGCCCCUUAUGACCUGGGCCUCACACGUACUACAAUGGCUGUCAACAGAGGGAAGCAAAGCCGCGAGGUGGAGCGAACCCCUAAAAGCAGUCUUAGUUCGGAUUGUAGGCUGCAACCCGCCUACAUGAAGUCGGAAUUGCUAGUAAUCGCAGAUCAGCAUGCUGCGGUGAAUACGUUCCCGGGCCUUGUACACACCGCCCGUCACGCCAUGGGAGUCGGUAACACCCGAAGCCUGUAGUCUAACCGCAAGGAGGACGCAGUCGAAGGUGGGAUUGAUGACUGGGGUG
rnacentral:rRNA from 1 species